GGAUUGGAUGCAGUGCAAAUUCGCAAGCUCCAGUCAAGAGAUUCUUCUGAAAUAUCGUCUUCGGCACAGAAAAGGUCUUAUGAGCUUGUUGAAGGCUACUGUUCAGAACUUGUCAUCCUGGAUCCAGAUGUGCUGACGGAUUACCACCCUCUAGCAGCAUACACAGUUGGUGGAAAGUUGAUGGUGACCACAAGGACAUUCAUUCUCCAUUAAAGCAACUCAAAAUGACAUCGUUACUUCGGGUAGUCCUGUCCUCCAAAGAAGCCCGGCGAAUUCAGCUUCCUGAAAUACCAGGAUCUGUGGCCCAACUGAUUGAUGAACUUAAAGAGAAACUUGAAGGCGAUUUUUCCAGAAUUUGGAAAUGCACUAUGUAACUUGACAACAAUGUCUGAAUUACCAGCUGAGUGUGCAGUCCUGCAUAUUAUGUGGAACUGUGAUUCAUCUCUACUUAACCAAUCCUGCAACAGUUCCAUUGGUUCAGUCUCCUCUCUUGAUACAGCAUGUAUUCACUCUGAAGAUUUCAGUUCCAGCCAUUCAGAUUCUAUUAGGAACAAUUUAAGGCAUGUUGCAGAGUGGCCCUCUCCAUUCCCUAUUCCUGAAUUCUCAUAUGAUGAACAAAAAUUGCGUAAGGGCAAUGAGACAUACGAAAAGUCAAAGAAGGGCCUUGAUGUGACAAGAAACAUUAAGAUGGAAAUUUUGGAUAAACUUGCACAAGCAAUUUUUUAAAUCAAAAGCUACCCUGAGAAAGAUGAACUUGAAUCAGUUGCCUAUGCGUUGGUUCUCAAAUAUCCAUGCCUGAAGGAGCCAGGUAGCAUUAAGGGCUAUGAUGGAUGGAAAACAAGUAUUAGGUACAAGCUUGGAAACUACAGGUCAAAGCUGCGUCAAGCGGGCUGCAUUGAGGUAGAUGUCAGCAGAAAAAGAAAAGGUGGAGAUGAAGAUGACAGCCCGUUCACCCUGAAAAAGCCCAAACGUGGGGAGGUCAAUCAUGUCCCAGAUUAUCCACAACAUCACGACGAUUCUACUCUUGAGGAGGAAAGAGUUGCCCUGGUCGACGAAAUGAAGAACAUCACAUUGAUCCAGCACAAGAUGGAGCUGACCUUUUCCCUUAGACGGAGAGAGGUAGUAGAGGGGCAGCCUAUGGUAUCAGAAGUCCAGGAGAGAUGGCCUGCACUUUUUUUCCAUUGAGGUAAGGCUGUCCUUAUUUAUUGUUUUAUAAUGCGUAUUGUAGUGUGUGUAAUCGGG